rnacentral:snoRNA from 1 species
GAGGCGCAGAGGAUGAGUCACCUUGUGACCCGACCGCGCUGCGGCGCAACCUGGUGGGGGUUCCAAACCUAAACCAAAAACUUUGAUACUGAUGCGCCUC